CUCCCGAUGCCCCGCCCGCCGCCGCCGUGCCCACGCGUGCCCCGCGGCUCCACGCUGCCAUAGAACGCCGCAGCCCCCCGGGCACCCCGACCCCGCAGGACCCCGGAGCUCUCCAGAACGGUUUAUUGAGCACAGGACCAAGCAUGGAGGACACGUAGGCCAUCCCCAGGCACAGCAGCCCAUAGCCGAAAGCUGAGGAUAGAUGGAUGGAUGGAUGGAUGGAUGGGGUUCAGGGCCCUGCCAGGACCUCGUUGUCCACCCUCCGUAGUGUGCCCCACGCUCACCCAGGAGCUUGGAGAGCAGUGUGGCACGCGACUCUGACAGCCCGGGGCAGUGCGGCCGCACCAGGUCCUCCAUCGUCACCGUCGCCAGUAGCGCUGCACCUGCGCCUGGUUCACGCCGUACAGCGACAGCAUCAUGAAGACCCCCCCGAAGGCCAGCGUCCAGAAGGUGUGCCGCACGUAGGGGUCAGGGUCCAGGCUGCAGGGUCAGGUACAGUCACGGCCAU